rnacentral:lncRNA from 1 species
CUGCUGCUGAGGCUACAGCAGUGACUGCAGNGUUGUAUAAUAUUACUGACUUGAUAUUCAAAUAUGACGAAAGAACAUUUGGUAAGGAUAACGACACAUUAUUUAUAAGGGAAGAAAAAUAUUAAUUAGAUUUUUAUGACUUGUAACGUCCAUUUUUAUCUAAUAACGCAUGCUAAACAUUUUCCUAUUAACAUUUUCCGAGAAAAUGUUUGACAUACAGUAUUGAACGUCUAACCCACCAAACAUGAAAUGGAAGUUUACGUGCUAGUUUUCACUACUUAAAUCUUGACGUACUACUAAUUGAUGGUUGUGUUAAGUGUAGCAAAAGCAGAAUUUGGANAUGUGUAU